GUGCCGGCGACCACUGCG
rnacentral:misc_RNA from 1 species